ACACUAGAGGUCAACGAAAGUUGCGUAGAUAGGUACCAAGGGGUCAAUGCUGCGUCUUAGGCAGGUCCGAGAUUU